CUGGUUAUACAGGCAAUGGAGUGACGGAGUGAUGAAAGAUCCGCGCGGUGACGGAAUACCGCGUUGAAGCCGGUAGGUAUUGGUUUGAUAGUUAAAUGCGUCAGACUAGCCGAAGGUGAUAGUACCGGGCGUCUUCGGACAAUCGGAUAGUGAUCCUAAGGGCUUCCAAGAAAAACUUCUAGCGUUAAGCGUAUAGUCACCCGUACCGCAAACCGACACAGGUGGUCGAGGAGAGAAUCCUAAGGUGCUCGAGUGAAUCAUGGCUAAGGAACUCGGCAAAAUGGCCCUGUAACUUCGGGAGAAGGGGCGCUGGCAGCGAUGUCA
rnacentral:rRNA from 1 species